AUUGAACGCUGGCGGCAGGCCUAACACAUGCAAGUCGAGCGAGCGGCGGACGGGUGAGUAAUGUCUGGGAACCUGCCUGAUGGAGGGGGAUAACUACUGGAAACGGUAGCUAAUACCGCAUACCAUCAGAUGUGCCCUGUGGGGAUUAGCUAGUAGGUGGGGUAAUGGCUCACCUAGGCGACGAUCCCUAGCUGGUCUGAGAGGAUGACCAGCCACACUGGAACGGUGACACGGACCAGACUCCUACGGGAGGCAGCAGGGGGGAAUAUUGGGCAAUGGGCGAAAGCCUGAUGGAGCCAUGCCGCGUGUAUGAAGAAGGCCUUAGGGUUGUAAAGUACUUUCGGCGGGGAGGCGGUACCUGCAGAAGAAGCGCCGGCUAACUCCGUGCCAGCAGCCGCGGUAAUUC
rnacentral:rRNA from 1 species